UUGCCUAAUGUAUGAUGAACAAGAUUUGUUGGUAUAUUAAUAACAUUAACAUCAGUUAGAUAAAUAACUUUAGUCAGAUACGUUAGCCUAUGUACCAUCAUCAUAAAAAUUUCUUAAAUACAUACAUUUUGUGAAUUUUUUUGAACGAAGAAAACAGACGUUUUUUAUCAGACCUGGCUAAAUCUCCACUAGUCUCGUCAGAAUUCUCCAAAAAUUGUUGAAAAAGAUGAAGCUUUGGGAGUUUUUCAUUUUGGUGGUGGUUCACCGAUGUUUCUUUUUUUUUUUUUUUGAUCGGAGACGACCAGAGAUGGAAAGACACGAAGAUGGAGAGAGGGAGAUGAGAGUGCAUCGGAGUGAAGGAAAAGAGGAAGAGGGAGAGGGCGACAAAUUUGAUGAUGCAUGGACGAUGGGAGUUACAGAGAUAAGAAGUUCUCCGCAAUCGUCGUGAGAGAAAAAUGAAGAUGCAGUGGACAACUAAUAGAAAUUCAGGAGAUCUAAGAACAAUGGAAAAGGAGAUCUGAGAAGAUAAAAAUAAAUAUGUGUUGUAUCCGCAUAGUUUAUUGAGAGAGAAUAAAAUAUGAGAUGAUAUAUAAUUAAAUAAAAGGUUUGAGAUAUCUGGAUAGUCAUAUACUUCUUUUUUUUUUUUUUCUCAUCUAGUGUUCGGUAUCCAUAUUAGAGUCCGAUUAAUCUGAAUUCGUACCGCGUU
rnacentral:lncRNA from 1 species